rnacentral:rRNA from 1 species
AACGAACGCUGGCGGCAGGCUUAACACAUGCAAGUCGAACGGUCUCUUCGGAGGCAGUGGCAGACGGGUGAGUAACGCGUGGGAAUCUACCCAGAUCUACGGAACAACAGUUGGAAACGACUGCUAAUACCGUAUACGCCAUACGGGGGAAAGAUUUAUCGGAUUUGGAUGAGCCCGCGUAAGAUUAGCUAGUUGGUGAGGUAAUGGCUCACCAAGGCGACGAUCUUUAGCUGGUCUGAGAGGAUGAUCAGCCACACUGGGACUGAGACACGGCCCAGACUCCUACGGCAGGCAGCAGUGGGGAAUAUUGGACAAUGGGCGCAAGCCUGAUCCAGCCAUGCCGCGUGAGUGAUGAAGGCCUUAGGGUUGUAAAGCUCUUUCAGUGGGGAAGAUAAUGACGGUACCCACAGAAGAAGCCCCGGCUAACUUCGUGCCAGCCGCCGCGGUAACAC